rnacentral:lncRNA from 1 species
CAGGUCCUUUUUUCUGUUUUUCAGAAAUAGAUGAAGAGGGAACAAAUUCCACUUCUAGCAGAGAGCAAAGAAUUUACUGGCUCAGUGAAAAAAAUUGUAUGGUCAUCUGAACUGGUGUAGAAUGCCUUGAAAGAUAGCACAAAGCCUGAAUUGCAAGCAUUCUGAAGACACAGCCACUUAUGCACAUUUAAAAAACUGAAACUGCUGAUAUAGUGUACAAUGACGGGAAGGCCCACAGUAGGUCCCGUUGAAAACAUUCAGUAGAAGAGCAUCGUCUUUGCUGCGGUGGAAAAUUUCAUAAGGUAUAUAACAUAAAUAACCUCUCCUCAUCAUAUAGAUACACAUGAUUUUGCACCACGCAAAGCAGGGAGAAAUAACAUGGCUUGAAAUGCCAAUGCCAAUCUGUUUGCUUGGAGACAGAAGAUGGUUAAUAACACGCAUCAUCUGAACAUAUGCAUAAACCAGAUACUAUGAAUAAAAAAACCAAUUCAAAUUGAAAAUUAGGAUUAACGCAAAAACAUGCCAAAAAAAUUAGAAGUAAACACAUAACUUCAUUCAAAUAAAAGAAUUCAUACAGACAACCUAUAUAUAUAGGCCUCCAU